ACAACUUCAACUUCCCUCUUUCUCUAUAUUACGCUUUUGCCCCUCACUCCCUCUUUCCACAAUUAGGGUUUCGUCUGCUCUACAUGACC
rnacentral:misc_RNA from 1 species